AUUGAACGCUGGCGGCAUGCCUUACACAUGCAAGUCGAACGGCAGCACGGGAGCAAUCCUGGUGGCGAGUGGCGAACGGGUGAGUAAUAUAUCGGAACGUGCCCGGUCGUGGGGGAUAACGUAGCGAAAGCUACGCUAAUACCGCAUACGAUCUACGGAUGAAAGCGGGGGAUCGCAAGACCUCGCGCGAUUGGAGCGGCCGAUAUCAGAUUAGGUAGUUGGUGAGGUAAAGGCUCACCAAGCCGACGAUCUGUAGCUGGUCUGAGAGGACGACCAGCCACACUGGGACUGAGACACGGCCCAGACUCCUACGGGAGGCAGCAGUGGGAAUUUUGGACAAUGGGCGCAAGCCUGAUCCAGCAAUGCCGCGUGCAGGAUGAAGGCCUUGG
rnacentral:rRNA from 1 species